UCUCUGGAGAAUCCCGCGAAAGGCGGGUGCCGAAGGGGCAAGGUACAAAAGCACGACAGCUAACUUAGCUGACAGCAAUGCGUUUGUUGACGCUAUACCUGUCUGCACCGUACCGAAACUCUCAGGCAAAAGGACAGAGC
rnacentral:ncRNA from 1 species